UUUCCACCUUUCUUCCUGUAGCAUCUACGAAAACACUCUCUCUCCUUCAUCACCAUGAUGACCUCCAAAAAUCCAUUAAGGACUCGAUCAAAGAGAGGAGGGCCGCCUCUAAGAAGACCCUCUCAUCCAAAAAGGCGAAGAGAGGGGAGCCGAGGUAGUCUGCCUCCCAAUCAAGUUGAGCUUUUGCUCCAUUUGCGGGGCCUAAAAGGAAGCCACCACCGCCUGUCAAGGGUGAGAGCACCUCUUUCUCCACUGAGCGGAUCCCCUACGUG
rnacentral:lncRNA from 1 species